UUGAUGUGAUGGAGCCCAUCACACAGAUAUCUUUUUUUCUGAGGGGGAGAGGAGGAGGGGGAAGAUUUGUCCCCAUCCCAUCACCACCCAACCAUUCACCAAAGUGGCUCCAUCGACACCAUCCAUGAGCCUUCACCCGUCCAAAACCUUGUGUGCCCACACCGGGAUUUCUCAGGCCCUCAAAUCAUGCAAGCCCCAUAAAUGGAGGAAGACACACCAAAAGCCAUGAAUGAAUUCACAGAACCUCAAAGCCACCUCAAACACAAAAAGCUUUUUGUGCCUUGCUUUCUUCGCUCAACUCUGCUCUGCCGACACUUCCAUUUAGGCUAGGCUCCAAUGUGUCGCGAGCCUCGCACGUGCGCGCGUAGUAUUUCCCUUUAGCACUACCAAAUUGCAGAAGCAACCAAGGGGGAAAAGGAACAAGACUGAGGAGACAAUGGAAAAGGACAAGGAGACCCAGAAAGGAACAGAAAAAGAAGAAGAAGAAAAGUAUCUAGGAACAAAGAAAAUAUCAAGCAAGCUCUUCCGAACACCACCCAACUUUGUGUUAUUUUUCUCCUUGUACAAUAUGGCUUCCAAGAUGAGAUGCCAAAUCACAACCCUGGAAGAAAUUCUCUUCCAAUAGGUCUAGAAAAACAAAAAAGGCAAAAAGAGAAAAGAAAAAGAAAAAGAGUGAAAUAUAA